rnacentral:lncRNA from 1 species
UUAAAAUAAAUAAAAGGCCAAUUUUAUUUUAUUAAAAAAAAAAAAAACAAUCUUUUCCUUCAGCCACUCCCAAUCAUGCUUGGUAUACAAUCUCUUUAACAUAAUUGUUGACAACAUGACACGUUUGCGCGUUCUCAUUGAAUAAUUUAAAACAAUUUAUCUUUCCAACCAACAUGUUUUUGAGACAUACAAUAUUGUCAACAAUGUUGUCAAAAAUUAUUGUACAAAUGACAAUGUUCUCCCACUCCACCCCAUCACCAACUGCCCCCACUACCACCCACCAUCUCCCUGAAUGGCAGCCACCACAACACAACCCAUGUCGCAAGUCACUCCACCCCAAAUUCCACCGGACCCUUCCUCGUUUCCCUACCACAAUUGUUCUCUCUUUCAAUUUCUCUAGAAGCUUCGUCCAGUUUCCUAUACCAGAAUCCAAGUUCCUUGACAGGUACAGAAACCGUACCCUUAGCACAAUUUAUAUUGAACAGCAAAUUGACGGACAGUCUUGAAAUCUGGCAAUUGCGACUAGGUAUUCCGCAGCAUCAGUCUUGCUCAGUACAUUCUUUCAAACAACCCCAUUGCACCUAUUUUACAUCCAUUAGGUGAUGAAUAAAGCUACACAAACAGUUGCUAACCAAGAUCAGAAGUACUAUAUCAAAAGUCUUCUUCACAUUUUGGCUAAGAUCAAAGUUGUAAUGUCGUUAGUAUAACAAGGUCAUGAGGUUUUGAGCCUUUGUUGUUAGAAUGCUAUUUAAUUAUUGGAGAAUGAAAAGACUAUGAAGGGAUAAACACGGGUGAAGCGCAUCUGGAUUUGCACCAGUCUCUUGGCAUGAAAAACAAUUUUGGCACCUAACUUUCAGUAAGGGCUAGUUUUUACAGUAUCUAGGCACAAAAUUUAAUAACCAUGCUUAAAAUUUAACCAAAUACCAUUCAUUCAGGAAAAAAGUCACAGAACUCAAUAUAUUUAUCCGUUGAUAUCCAAAAUUGGAACUUCUCAUCUUCCCAACCAUACUGCCUUUCCACAAUCAACCAUCACCACUACGCCCCCUUCUCGAGAACCUCCAUCCCACGCUCAGACCCUUGUAAUCUCCCAUCCUCCACCAUCUCCACAACUCAACCUUCUCUUUUACGGUCACAAAACACAAUCACCUAUCAUUACUAAUUCCACCUUUCCAACUCUUACCUUUCCCACACCAAUCCAGCCAAGUCCUGUAAACCCAUUGUUGUGAUUCUCCGAUCACGAGAAGAAAAGAUAAAAAAGAGGAAAAAUAAUUCUAUUUCUUACUUGAAUAGAAUUUUAUAAUGGAGUAUUACAAACUCUAAAAAAAAACCUCUAAUCUUUCGUCUCUACACUAUUUUUCUUCCUCUCCAGGGAUUUUUCCUCUCUUUUGGGGUAUAAAAUUCUUUUUGUGACAUCCCUUAUUUAUAGAGGAAUUAGGCUACAAACCGCCUCAAUUUUAUGACCAGAAUUCUGCCAUUUAAGUGCUUAAUGGACAGUCAAAAUUUGGAGCAUGCCUUCUUCAUGAAAUAAUUAAAAUUGUGGCUAUGUUCAUGCAUUUAAGG